rnacentral:rRNA from 1 species
UACGAAGGGGGCUAGCGUUGUUCGGAAUCACUGGGCGUAAAGCGCACGUAGGCGGACUCUUAAGUCGGUGGUGAAAUCCUGGAGCUCAACUCCAGAACUGCCUUCGAUACUGGGAGUCUCGAGUCUGGGAGAGGUGAGUGGAACUGCGAGUGUAGAGGUGAAAUUCGUAGAUAUUCGCAAGAACACCAGUAGCGAAGGCGGCUCACUGGCCCGGUACUGACGCUGAGGUGCGAAAGCGUGGGGAGCAAACAGG